rnacentral:rRNA from 1 species
GAUGAACGCUGGCGGCGUGCUUAACACAUGCAAGUCGAACGGAGUUAUGGAGAGAGAGUGAGGUGCUUGCACCAAGUGAUCAUUUCAUAACUUAGUGGCGGACGGGUGAGUAACGCGUGGGUAACCUGCCAUAUACAGGGGGAUAACACUUAGAAAUAGGUGCUAAAACCGCAUAAGCGCACAGCUUCGCAUGAAGCAGUGUGAAAAACUCCGGUGGUAUAUGAUGGACCCGCGUCUGAUUAGCCAGUUGGCAGGGUAACGGCCUACCAAAGCGACGAUCAGUAGCCGGCCUGAGAGGGUGAACGGCCACAUUGGGACUGAGACACGGCCCAAACUCCUACGGGAGGCAGCAGUGGGGAAUAUUGCACAAUGGGGGAAACCCUGAUGCAGCGACGCCGCGUGAGUGAAGAAGUAUUUCGGUAUGUAAAGCUCUAUCAGCAGGGAAGAAAAUGACGGUAC